GGCUCGGUAGCUUAGUUGGUAAAGCACACGUCUAGCAUACAAGCGUCGUGGGUUUAAAUCCCACCUGAGCAC
rfam:Aedes aegypti strain Liverpool supercont1.17 genomic scaffold, whole genome shotgun sequence.